CAUACUUAACCGCCGUGUAUAUUUGGAAAAUAUUCAGCAUCGUUUUUCGCGCUUUGUUCAUAAGCUUUUUAAUAUUCCAAAAGGCACAGACUUGUUGUAUUCCUCUAUCUUAAAUGGUCUGGAAAAUUCAAAGCCUCAGAAUUUCAUUCAUAAAGGCGAGAGAAUAAGCAACUUGACACAGCCUGAUAAAUGGUCAGAUAUACUUACUAACAAACGGGCGUCGAUGUAGGUUUAUCACAGCUUUUUUUAUUUUCUGCAUGCAGCAUGGGGAUAAUAUCAGACGAGCAACCUACGCCUCAUUGAAGUCAAAGUAUUGGAACAAUAUGACCCAGACAGAGGCAAUAACAAUGACAGUUAUGAGUUUUUUCCAAUACGAAUGCGAAUCGAACGAACUCGUGCAACUAGCUAUUGAAGUUAAUUUCAAGCUUGAAAUGAACUCUUAAAAGACAGCAUAAAAUUCUAGAUGCAAUUUGACUUCAUUCUAUGCGGUUUAUACGGUGCUUCAUUGAUUUUCAUGACCUGGCUUGAAAUGACAAAAAUCCUGACGGCUGCAGUGCUAUGUGUCGGCCAUUAGAUGGGACAAGAAUAAAGCCAGAUCAGUCACCAAAUUGCCUGGGUCAACGCACCAUGCUAGGCAUAAUAAAAUAAGUCAAAAUAAGGCGAAUAAUCAAAGAUAAUUGCGUCUCCAGCCUUAGGGCAACUGCUUGCAUAAGCGAUUAUGUGUUCUUGGUGGUGAUUGAAUCCUGGAGCUUAUACCAACCUAACGCAUUCAAGUGACAAUGCAAUAUCUGCUAAAUUAAUUAGUAGAUUGGUUGAGUUAAUAAAUAAAUAGCAGAUGUAUUGAGCUUGUGUAAGCAGAAUUGAAUAUGAUUGAAAUUAAUAUGUCACAAUAACUGUAUGGAUUAUUUUGCCGUCUCUAGUUCUCUUGUAGUGUAAUAAGCAGAAUUAACAUUUCUUUGUUCCUGCAUACAAAAAUUAAUUUCAAAUUUAAAUUUUUUAACAUCGUUUCAGAAUUAAUGUAAUGCUUAAUUCCAUGAAAUUUGUUAGUUAAUCUACCGCUUGAAAAAGAAAAAUGUGAA